CACCGCUGUGCAAAUUACCCCCAUCUCGAACCCAACUCCACAAUCCUAACCCGUGCCUGCCGCCGCCGCCCUCGUGCUCGAUCCACAGUCCUGCCGCCGGCCUCGCGCUCCACCCCGUCGUCAAGCCGUCGUCUCGGAGCUCGCACUCCCCCGCCCCUGAGCUCCACCCCGUCAUCCACCCGUCCUUGCAAUCCGCCCCUCCCCCCGAGAUCCAUAUCCUGAGAUCGAGCCGCCGCCCUCUCGAUGCACAUCGAACCGCCGUCCUCGCGCCGCCCCCUCGACAUCCCGCUGUCCUCCUCGCCAAUCCCCGUUCCUGCUGCUGCCGGGGCUCCAUCUCCGGGCUCCCGCUGCUGUCCCACCUGCUGUUGCCGGGGCUCCAUCUCCGAGUUCCCGCUGCUGCUGGAUCUCCUGCUACCUGGGCUCCCUCUGCGGGCUCGCGCUGCUGCUGGGCCUGCUGCUACCGGGGAUCCAUCCCCUUCGAGCUGCGCCCCUCCCGAAGCCAGCUGGCGCCGUGCCCUGAGUGAGGUGAUGGCGGAAGACAACAAUGAUAAUUGAUACAUCGUAGAUGGACCUGGAAGCAAUGCUACGAAGAGUGUCAAAUGGAGGUGGCUUCUCAUGGUAGUGAGGAUGUGGCCAUACAGCCAAUCAGCCAUAUAGGCAAGGAAAAGAGAUGGUGCAGAAGGAGCUUCAGCAGGCAUGAUGGUUCGACAACCACAACCUUGCAAGGCCAUCCCCAUGGCCCAGCAACACUAUUUCAGUCUUGCCGACAAUAGCCAGGAACCACGACCACCAGCAUGCAGCAUGGCCAAUGGGUGGAGAACGGAUGGCUACCUCGCUGGGAACCAUGGUUGCGCACGUGCAGCAGAAACCAAAUGGUGGAUGGAAGGCUACCUCAUGGGGAACUAGGGCCACGACUUGUAGUGUCCAACUGGUGGCGAAUGGAAGGCUACCUGGCCGUGUACCUCAACUACUAGGCACUUAGCCAACUGGUGCACAUGGACGUGAUGACUUUGAAGUGUUUAUGGACCAACCAACAUGCCAACUAGUGCACAUGGACGUGAUGACUUUGAAGUGUUUAUGGACCAACCAACCUGUAAACAUGGAUCUUAUGUGUCUUCUAGACCAUUUGGUGUUUCGGAUAUGUUGGAGUUUGCACUUUGUGCAAGUGGAUACAGACUUGUGUGUUCUGGACCAUCUAGCUGAAGUCUCUCAUACCAGCAAAUAGUGCUCAUCUUUCUGUGACUUGUGUGUUCUAGGUGAUUGUUAAGAUGGUCAAAACUAUGAUUUGCCAAGAUUGAUGUGUUUGUCAACUUGCGGUCAAUGUAUAUGCAUGUUCGUGAACAUAUUUUCAUUGUUUGUAUAGUAUGUGUUCAUCU